AACACAUGCAAGUCGAGGGGCAGCAGGGGGAGGAGCAAUCCUCCCCGCUGGCGACCGGCGCACGGGUGAGUAACACGUAUGCAAUCUGCCCAUGACUGGGGGAUAAUCGGAAGAAAUUCCGUCUAAUACCGCAUAACACCUUUAUGGGGCAUCCCGUGAAGGUCAAAGAAUUUCGGUCAUGGAUGAGCAUGCGGCGCAUUAGCUGGUUGGCGGGGUAACGGCCCACCAAGGCGACGAUGCGUAGGGGUUCUGAGAGGAAGGUCCCCCACACUGGUACUGAGACACGGACCAGACUCCUACGGGAGGCAGCAGUGAGGAAUAUUGGUCAAUGGGCGAGAGUCUGAACCAGCCAAGUCGCGUGAGGGAAGACGGUCUUAUGGAUUGUAAACCUCUUUUGCCGGGGAGCAAGGGCUGCCACGCGUGGCAGGGCGAGAGUACCCGGAGAAAAAGCAUCGGCUAACUCCGUGCCAGCAGCCGCGGUAAUACGGAGGAUGCGAGCGUUAUCCGGAUUUAUUGGGUUUAAAGGGUGCGUAGGCGGAAGAUUAAGUCAGCGGUAAAAUUGGGAGGCUCAACCUCUCCGAGCCGUUGAAACUGGUUUUCUUGAGUGAGCGAGAAGUAUGCGGAAUGCGUGGUGUAGCGGUGAAAUGCAUAGAU
rnacentral:rRNA from 1 species